rnacentral:lncRNA from 1 species
GUUUUCUUCGUUGCGAUUCCUACACUUCCAUCACAAAUCAGUUUUCUUCAUUGCGAUUAGUGGAAACGCUCAAGAUUCCAACGAUUCGGCUUAGUAUUGUUUGUUCGGUCACAAUCUAGACCAGAAACCCUAAUUUCAUGGCGAUGCGGUUUACGAACAAACAGAUCUGUGGAUAGAAUGCCCUAGCCGCCGCCUCCAGCAGUGAAGGCUAGGGUUUCAACAAGUUGAUCCUGAGCAAGUCCAGUUUUGAUGGU